rnacentral:rRNA from 1 species
UGGGGAAUAUUGGACAAUGGGGGCAACCCUGAUCCAGCGAUGCCGCGUGUGUGAAGAAGGCCUGAGGGUUGUAAAGCACUUUCAGUGGGGAGGAGAGUUGGUUGGUUAAGAGCUGAUUGAUGAGACGUUACCCACAGAAGAAGCACCGGCUAACUCCGUGCCAGCAGCCGCGGUAAUACGGAGGGUGCGAGCGUUAAUCGGAAUUAUUGGGCGUAAAGGGUGCGUAGGUGGUUUUAUAAGUUAUCUGUGAAAACCCUGAGCUCAACUUGGGGAAGAGAGAUAAAACUGUAGGACUAGAGUAUGGGAGAGGGUAGUGGAAUUUCCGGUGUAGCGGUGAAAUGCGUAGAGAUCGGAAGGAACACCGGUGGCGAAGGCGGCUACCUGGCCUAAUACUGACACUGAGGCACGAAAGCGUGGGGAGCAAACAGG